rnacentral:rRNA from 1 species
ACGUACACUCCUACGGGAGGCAGCAGUGGGGAAUAUUGCACAAUGGGCGCAAGCCUGAUGCAGCGACGCCGCGUGGGGGAUGAAGGCCUUCGGGUUGUAAACUCCUUUCGCUAGGGACGAAGCUUUUUUGUGACGGUACCUAGAUAAGAAGCACCGGCUAACUACGUGCCAGCAGCCGCGGUAAUACGUAGGGUGCGAGCGUUGUCCGGAAUUACUGGGCGUAAAGGGCUCGUAGGUGGUUUGUCGCGUCGUCUGUGAAAUUCUGGGGCUUAACUCCGGGCGUGCAGGCGAUACGGGCAUAACUUGAGUGCUGUAGGGGUAACUGGAAUUCCUGGUGUAGCGGUGAAAUGCGCAGAUAUCAGGAGGAACACCGAUGGCGAAGGCAGGUUACUGGGCAGUUACUGACGCUGAGGAGCGAAAGCAUGGGUAGCGAACAGGAUUAGAUACCCCGGUAGUCCCAUG